GUAGCAUAUCAAUAAGCGGAGGAAAAGAAACCAACAGGGAUUGCCCUAGUAACGGCGAGUGAAGCGGCAACAGCUCAAAUUUGAAAUCUGGCUCUUUCAGAGUCCGAGUUGUAAUUUGCAGAGGGCGCUUUGGCGUUGGCAGCGGUCCAAGUUCCUUGGAACAGGACGUCACAGAGGGUGAGAAUCCCGUACGUGGUCGCUGGCCUUCGCCGUGUAAAGCCCCUUCGACGAGUCGAGUUGUUUGGGAAUGCAGCUCUAAAUGGGAGGUAAAUUUCUUCUAAAGCUAAAUACUGGCCAGAGACCGAUAGCGCACAAGUAGAGUGAUCGAAAGAUGAAAAGCACUUUGGAAAGAGAGUCAAAUAGCACGUGAAAUUGUUGAAAGGGAAGCGCUUGCAGCCAGACUUGCCUGUAGUUGCUCAUCCGGGCUUUUGCCCGGUGCACUCUUCUGCGGGCAGGCCAGCAUCAGUUUGGGCGGUUGGAUAAAGGUCUCUGUCAUGUACCUCUCUUCGGGGAGGCCUUAUAGGGGAGACGUCAUGCAACCAGCCUGGACUGAGGUCCGCGCAUUUUGCUAGGAUGCUGGCGUAAUGGCUGUAAGCGGCCCGUCUUGAAACACGGACCAAGGAGUCUAACAUCUAUGCGAGUGUUUGGGUGUCAAGCCCGAACGCGUAAUGAAAGUGAACGGAGGUGGGACCCCAUUAGGGUGCACCAUCGACCGAUCCUGAUGUCUUCGGAUGGAUUUGAGUAAGAGCAUGGCUGUUGGGACCCGAAAGAUGGUGAACUAUGCUUGAAUAGGGUGAAGCCAGAGGAAACUCUGGUGGAGGCUCGCAGCGGUUCUGACGUGCAAAUCGAUCGUCAAAUUUGGGCAUAGGGGCGAAAGACUAAUCGAACUAUCUAGUAGCUGGUUCCUGCGACCCC
rnacentral:rRNA from 1 species